rnacentral:rRNA from 1 species
UAUGGUUUCCUGCCACCGAAUACAUUAGCAUGGGAUAAUGGAAUAGGACCCUGACCUCCUAUUUUCAGUUGGUUUUGUUUACAGCGAGGUUAUAUCAGGGUAAUGAUUAAUAGGGAUAGUUGGGGGCAUUAAUAUUUAAUUGUCAGAGGUGAAAUUCUUGGAUUUAUGAAAGAUUAACUUCUGCGAAAGCGUUUGCCAAGGAUGUUUUCAUUAAUCAAGAACGAAAGUUAGGGGAUCGAAGACGAUCAGAUACCGUCGUAGUCUUAACCAUAAACGAUGCCGACCAGCGAUUAGGAGACGUUGAAUACAAAACACCGCUGUUAAUCCUUUCGGGGGUUAAUAGUUGGUGAAUGACUCCCUAGCAGCUUGUGAGAAU